UGGCUACGAAAAGUCAUACGAAAAUUGGGAAUAAUUCGAGAUAGGAUCAUCUGUGCGAAGACAACUAAUUUUACAUUAUUACAGUUUAAAGAGAAUUACAAAAUAUGUAUAAUAAUUUAACACAGCACAGUACAACGUCAAGGAGGAUAAAACGCGCGUGCUCGUUUUGAGCGAUGUAUAACAGAGCGCAGCACUCCAGCGAUGCCAAAAGCAGCAGAGAAAAAAAAUCUGACGGUCGCCGAACCACGAAAUUUCAAGAUCUCAUGUUUCAAUCUCAUUAUCUUAUUUUCAUCUACUGUUAGCCAAGCUUGUGCUUAAGAUACUUCAGAUGUAUUUUGAGAGAUCGGCAUGUAACAGAAACAUUUCGAGUGAGAAUUUUAUCAAUGAAUUUGAUAAAGAAUUUGAAACUCUUUCAAAUGGUCACGAAGAUACACGCGUUAAUACAAAUAAUAAUGAAUGUGUCAUGUGUCAGGUUAUGUGCGAUUAAAUAAAUACGUGUAUAAAUAUCAAAGCUCAUUUCAUUAUUAUAGCUGAAAAGUGAUAUUAAACUUCAUCGAUCUAAAACAACUUGACAGAAGUUAGACAACCUGGUCAACUGGUCAGUUGGAAGCUGAAAGGAUAAAUUUCAUAACGGGAAAAGAUGAUUUGUGUAAACUCUCCAAGGUCAAACCAAUCACUGUUGUUGUUGUAGCUGCUGCUGCGGAGAGCUUACUUCCUGUUGUAUCAUUCGGCUGCUGGUUCAAUAUACUUGACUAAAACCAAACGAUUGAUCUGAGACUACUUGCCAUUCAGUGAAUGAUAGAUAUUCUUAAAGGAGUUGUUGUGUUAUGGAACUGCAGGAUCUUGCACUUCUCUUACUUAAAAAUGUAUUAAAAACUGCUGAUCCAAAGCCAGCUUUCCCAGAUGCUGAUGCUGGAUCUUUAGUAGACUCCAUGCCACAAAAACAAGGGAUGUAACGUCAAGAUGUUCUUGCUGCUAAUAUUAAAAUUUUCAAAGUUCGAGGAGAGAGGCUCUUGAUAAAUGCGCCAAAAAAGUUGUUAAAGUUUUGGUUGUUGGAAGUACAGCAAAUAACAACAAUAUAGUACUUCUUUGAAGUACAGGCACUCUUGGGUUGAUAAUCCCUGAAGAAGUUCUUUAGAAGACAUAACAUGGUGUACAAAGGGUACUUUGUUUAAGUUAAAAAACAAUCAUAAUAUGCAUGUAAUAAUGCAGAUUGGUGUGAGUAUGUAUAGAGAUAAUGUGUGAUAUGUGCCUAAAUAAUAUAAACAAUUGAUGCCUAUAAA